rnacentral:rRNA from 1 species
GUAGUCCACGCCGUAAACGAUGCGCACUAGAUCGGUGCGGCUCUGACGCCGGAUCGGUCGGAGUAAAAACGAUAAGUGCGCCGCCUGGGGAGUACGGUCGCAAGGCUAAAACUCAAAGGAAUUGACGGGGGCUCACACAAGCGGUGGAGCAUGUUGCUUAAUUCGAUGCAACGCGAAGAACCUUACCUGGGCUUGACAUGGCCGGAUUAGUUCCCGGAAACGGGAAUGACACCCGCAAGGGUGGAACGGUCACAGGUGCUGCAUGGCUGUCGUCAGCUCGUGCUGUGAAGUGUCGGGUUAAGUCCCUUAACGAGCGCAACCCCUGUCGUUAGUUGCUCGGCGCAAGCCAGUACUCUAGCGAGACUGCCGCUGUAAGGCGGA